UCCUUUCGACAUGUAAUCUCCGUUUAACCCCAGCCAGGAAGAAGCAUUCCUUCAUCGCAGUCUCUCACUCUACACGUACUUCGCCUUCGUCCCAGGAUGAUAUCGGGAUAUCAUGAAUUAUGUACUACGUGGACGUCAGUUUGGACUGUUGGUAUAUAUAUAUAUAUAUUUAGAUCUUCCAAGGUAUGCAACUUGCCAAGUGUUAUACGUGCUGCACAUGCUCAUAAUUAAAUUUAGAUAUAUGCAUACAAUAAUUGUGUAGUGUUUAAUUAGGCAUUUGGUAAUAUUUUAAGGUAUUUUGGAAGUGGCUGAAUUACUGCGGCUCCCCCAAGCUUCACGAUGAUCAACUUUGUGUAUUAGCUGCCGCAUCAGCACCUGGAUGAUAGGACAGUUUGCAAUUACAAUAAAUUACUUAAUUUUU